CAGUUCCACCUGCAGCUGCCUCCGCAGGGCCUCCAGGAGCCCGGCCCUCGGCUGCUCUGCCGGUGGCCGGGGUCCUGAGGCCACAGGUUCUGCCAGGCUGGGCUCAGGGCUGA